rnacentral:rRNA from 1 species
UAAACGACUCUCGGCAACGGAUAUCUCGGCUCUUGCAUCGAUGAAGAACGUAGCGAAAUGCGAUACUUGGUGUGAAUUGCAGAAUCCCGCGAACCAUCAAUUCUUUGAACGCAAGUUGCGCCCGAGGCCAUUCGGCCGAGGGCACGCCUGCCUGGGUGUCGUGA